GGCGACUGAAAGCAAGCAGCAUCCCCGCGCCGGCAGCCGUUUGGAGGGACCCCGGACCUUUCGGUAGCUGUCCAUUUUCGAAGAAAACUGCUGGCCCACCGAUUCCAAUGAAGCAAGAGUGAUUUCUCUUUAUAAAAAGCAGUCAAAAACAAUUCCACACAAUUACCGGCCCACCUCCCUUCUGUCAUGCAUCAAGGAAUUUGAAAAAAUAAUACUGAACAGCUCAUGAAAUAGCUGAAAAAAGUCUUAUUUCCAACAGACAUUUUGGCUUUCGAAGCUCUGUAUCGAUUGCUGACCUUUUUAUUGUUGAGUAAUAAUUGACAGGAUGCUCUGGAUGCCAGUCAAGAUACUCUGGUAAUCGCCCUCGACAUCGCCGGCGUCUUCGACCAAGUGUGGAACGGAAGGCUCCUCGCUAAACUACAAGCAAGAGGCAUAUGCACUAACUUCUUGUAGUUGUGAUAAUUACUUCCGUAGAACAUUGCCAGUAGUCAUCCACAGUCUGUCAUCCCAGAAGUCUCCAGCAUGUGGAUCAUGGCGCUGUAGGCUUGAAUAUGAAUUCAAUAUUACAAGCAAUCUACGACUGGGGAUCACAAUGGCAAGUAAGAUUUGCCACCAGCAAGACCCAAGCGCUCUCCAGCUUGCAUCAGACGUCAUGGACAAGCUCUAAUGAAUAACAUCGCCAUUCUACAAGAGGACUUAAUCUCAGUCCUCGGUGUGGAUAUAGGAUCUGCUAAACAGUUUCUCUGACGGCUACAGCUCUCCAAAAUACAUAAAACCUCCUGUAUCCUCUGGGAAUUCUCACUCAGUACAAGUCCCAGAUAAGAACACACCUGCUGGAGUAAAUUUCGCUAGCCUGGUCUUCUGUUGCGCUCACCAGUCUAAACAGGCAGGACAAAAUAGAAAAAAACGGACUUUCAAGCUUAUCCAAAACGAAACCGGUAUGGCACAUCGAUUCUUAGGAACAUCGUCGCGACGGCUGGGCUCUAACAGUGCAGCAGGGGCCUCAUCUCUCCAGCCUACGUCUACAACCGCACGGCAGAGAGAGAAGUACAAGGACGGUACACUCUAAACGACUCCUGGUAGAAGUUAUGAGGUCUAGAGUGGCGCGACUGUAGAAUGUAUUCGCAUCACCCACCGACGUCGCCGAAAUAACCACGCAAUGAGCAAACCGCCAUCUAUUUAAUCUCCUAUAUAUUCAUGGCGAAACAUUAAACACUGUACAUAAUCUUAUUAUGCAUUAAUACUAUUUUGUUAUGUGUUAGUUUAAUAAAUCAAUCUAUAAGAGAGAGAGACAGAGACUUUUUUUUUACUUUGACAAGUUUAUUGAGAGAGAAUCUUUAACUCCUGCAGCAUUCUUGGAGCCAUUGUUAA